CGUCACUAACUCUCCAGGGCUGACUCUGAAACCUCCCCUGGGCCCAGCUGUGCUGGAUGCGGCAUCAGAGGCCAGCAGCAACAGGAGAGAGGCUGCCAGGUGCCAUCAGGAGCCCAGCCACCAACCAGCGCCCCCAAGCCUGGGCACUGCCAGCCCCACAGAACCAUCACCAACUGCAGUGUUGAAGUGGGGCACACAGGGCUCCGUUCUGUGUUCAGCGCCAACAUGGACCAUUUGCAGCUGACAUGAAGCUGGGCAGCACGGUAACGAGCACUGAUUCGUAUAGCAGCGGGGCCCAUCCUGGUGUGGCUCCCGCACGUUCUUCCCAGCAGCAUCCGCUGACACGGCUAGAGAGGAGCAUCGGUGAAGGAUGAUCUUGGGAUGUUCUUCACCCCAGGAGCUGUGACCCUCUCAUUGUGCCCUCAUACAGCACUCCUCUCCUCUCACUGAUGCCAGCUCCAUGCAGCACCCACAGCCUAGCCCAGCAGCUUGGGACAGGGCCGCUGCUUGUCUGGCAUGUGACUGCACCGUCCGAAAGAUCUUCCUCCAGGGGCACCAGUCCCCUUCUGUGGGCUCAAAAAUCCCCCUCAGACUGGAUUUGAGCUAUUUGGGAGCCCAGGCCUGGGACAACAGGGGGCUGCGGGUCAGGACUGAGGAGGCACCAGCAGAGCUAUGAAUGAGGACUCCAAUGCACCUGUGCAUGUCUCUCACUUUCAGUCCCUUUCCAGGCCCUCACGUCUCCCUUUUUUAACAGCCCAGCACCCAAUGCCACUGCACACCUGCCCCCCUCCCCCACCGACACACACUUCAGGCUCCCUCGGCUUGAGCAGUUGUACUACCUGCCCUGGUGGUGCCAGCGCUCACCCCUGCUCUCAUCUUACAGGCUGCAGUGGGGAUGGGGCCCCCCGCAAGGCUCCAAACCUCAGCCCACUAGGCUGAAAUGCAGAGGGGGCUGGGAUCACUGACUCCUCCAUUCACACACCCUUCAGGGGCUUCACAUUGGAAGUCAGCAGCAUCCAGCACUAAAGGGAGCUUCCAGAGUGACCGGUUGAAGGCAUUUGCCUCCCAUGCUGCAUCCCUGCACGGUAUGCUGCAUCCCACUGGAGAGCAGACCAGGAAUGUGUGGGUGUGGGCAGGGGGAGCUCCCUGACAGAACCACACCACAGAUGACACCAGUUGGCCUGUCUCUGGUCACUGCAUACAGGGGCUGCGGACUCCCUCCCUGCGCAGCCUGAACCUCAGCCCACAUCCCACCAAAGCUUUUGGAGUUUGCCCCCUCCACCCCCAAGCACCUAUCCUCUCCCCGCCCCCCCAGCCCCUCUCCCCACCACCCACAGACACUGAUCCUCUCCCAUCAACACCAUCCCAUCCCCACUUUUCCCAA